rnacentral:misc_RNA from 1 species
AACGCACCUUGCGCUCCUUGGUAUUCCGAGGAGCAUGCCUGUUUGAGUGUCAUUAAAUUCUCAACCUUUCCAGCUUUUGUGAGCUGUGAUAAGGCUUGGAUAUUGGGAGCUUGCGGGGCCUGUAGAAGGUCGGCUCUCCUGAAAUGCAUUAGCGGAACCGUUUGCAGUCCCGUCACUAGUGUGAUAAUUAUCUACACUGUGAUGACUGCUCUCUAGUUUGUUCAGCUGCUAAUUGUCCAUUACUGGACAACUCUUAAUGAACCUCUUGACCUCAAAUCAGGUAGGACUACCCGCUGAACUUAA